rnacentral:rRNA from 1 species
UACGGGGGGAGCAAGCGUUGUUCGGAUUUACUGGGCGUAAAGGGCGCGUAGGCGGCCACCGCAAGUCGAUUGUGAAAUCUCCGAGCUUAACUCGGAAAGGUCAACUGAUACUGUGCGGCUAGAGUGCGGAAGGGGCAACUGGAAUUCUUGGUGUAGCGGUGAAAUGCGUAGAUAUCAAGAGGAACACCUGCGGCGAAGGCGGGUUGCUGGGCCGACACUGACGCUGAUGCGCGAAAGCUAGGGGAGCGAACGGG